rnacentral:rRNA from 1 species
UAGGGAAUCUUCCACAAUGGACGCAAGUCUGAUGGAGCAACGCCGCGUGAGUGAAGAAGGUUUUCGGACCGUAAAGCUCUGUUGUUGGUGAAGAAGGAUAGAGGUAGUAACUGGCCUUUAUUUGACGGUAAUCAACCAGAAAGUCACGGCUAACUACGUGCCAGCAGCCGCGGUAAUACGUAGGUGGCAAGCGUUGUCCGGAUUUAUUGGGCGUAAAGCGAGCGCAGGCGGAAGAAUAAGUCUGAUGUGAAAGCCCUCGGCUUAACCGAGGAAUUGCAUCGGAAACUGUUUUCUUGAGUGCAGAAGAGGAGAGUAGAACUCCAUGUGUAGCGGUGGAAUGCGUAGAUAUAUGGAAGAAUACCAGUGGCGAAGGCGGCUCUCUGGUCUGCAACUGACGCUGGGGCUCGAAAGCAUGGGUAGCGAACAGGAUUAGAUACCCUGGUAGUCCAUGC